GUAACACAGGAGGCAACAAGUCAGAUUCUUCAAGUCUCAUAGCUACUCUCUAGGGAUCACUGGGGAACUUGGCAAAAAUCUAUUGGGGAACUUGGCAAAAAUCUAUUGGCUCAGCUAGUGAGAGAUCACUCCCUGUACCACUGUUCUUAGAGUGGACUUCCAGUUCAGGAUCAUGCGAGGGCAUUUUGUUGCCCUUCAUCACUCAGCAGUGAAGAAUGAAAAUCAACAGAGCUUUCCCCAGCCUGCUGCUUAAGCAGCUGCUAACAGGCUGAGGCUGCCCAGCCUCAUUAACCCAUUAGAUGCUGCGUUCGCCCAGGAGUCAUUCUUAAUGAGGCUGCUGCAG